rnacentral:rRNA from 1 species
AUGAAGCCUAGCGAAGAAUCUGGGCAUUGGUGCUUGAUUGUUCUGAAUUUGAGGUUCCAUCGUUUCGAGUGUCUUGAUUCACUCCGUGAUGAAACCUGGGGUGAUGCAGUUAGAUUCUUAAGGAAUAUGAUAGAUAAUAUAAAGAAGCUUUGGAGGGAGUCGAGUGUAGACAGGGCCAAGCCGUUCUCGCCGGUGCAUAUUGAUGGUUUCUCUUGCGAGUUUGUGCGAGUGCCGCGGCAGACCUAUCAUUCCCGGGAUGAAAUGUUGGAUUACAGCGAUGAAGACAUUUUGGACAUUAGGAAGACUUUGUUGUAUACCUGCGCAACUAGCGAUGUGUUUGAUGUUGACUUCCGGGGUGAGUGGCUGGAUCUUGGUGCGCAUGACUACAGGUUCUUUGGCAGCCAGUUCUUGGAGCUCGAGUGCGUAGCUAUUGAUCUUAGCCAGGGGCUUUCUCCCGAAAAGACAAGAUCUGGUGUUAUGAAGGGGUGGUUGGGAUCUCUGAAAGGUUCUACGGCUGCUUGUGCAGAGAGCCCCACUACACCCAAGAAUCCCAUUGUGGAAUUGAUAGACAGCGAUGAUGAUGUGUUGGAAAAGAUUGCUGGCAUGGGAAGAGUCACGAGGAGCGCUGCUGCCAAAGGUUUAUCUCCCCUUGCUGGAAUAGUGCCUCAUAGAGCUGGUGGUGCUAGGAAGGAUCCUGCUUUGGAUUCUCGCAAUGUUCAGCUUCACCCUCAUAAAUUCUCUCACCUGGACAAGGCUCGCAAGUUGUAUAAUCUAUUGCUUAGUGAUGAAUGGCGUGAGAAGUAUGCCGAGAAUACAUUCUCAAUGAUACCUCAGCCUGGUGAUAACGUAACUAGCUUCACUGGGAAACGCAUCAGGGAAGUUUUUGCACCUAGGUAA